CUGUCUUUUUUCUUUUUGGUUAUUCCAAACUGAUCUGUUGCAGGUAUUGUUGGAUCAACUCUGUUCAGAGGCACUUGAUAUGUUCCUGUUCUAAGGAGGAAAUUCACGGUCUGGUUGGAUAAGUUCGGUGAUAACAAAGUGCAUACCUGAGAGACUAUUGAGUUGUGCCAAAUACUUACGACAAUAGUCUUUUUAAUCUUUCAGCAAGUGUGAUUUUCAUGAUAUCUCUUCUAAACACUCUGAAUCCGGAGCUGUCCAUUUUUGUUAGUUUGUGCCAUGUUUACUUCAAUUCAAUACUAAGGGGGAUUCAUAUGUUUGAAUAAAACAAAAAUUAGAUGGGCGUUUUAUUAAGUUUGGGGUCGUUACAUUAUCUUUGAUUGUGAUGCUAAUGAUGUUAUUCAAGGUCUCUUAAGCUUUAAAGCGUGGCCUACAAUGCAAUGCUAACAACAAAACAUUUUCACUCUGACCAUAUAAUUGACUUUACAAGCUUCAAGAUAUAUUUUAAGCAAGGAGGAUGUACGUAACAAAAUCGCUCACUAUUAACACACAGCCAGUCUUUGCCUAGACCACUUCAAUUAUACCAUUAGACUAAAACAAAUAUGAACAUUUGUGGCUGCAAUUUAUUAAUAGAAAAGUUAGCCGUAAGUUUAUGAUUUAUUAGCUUGGCCCAGAGGCAGGCUAUGUAUCAACCUUUUGAUUGUUUAGUUAACUGUUCCAAUCUGUUUACAACAUUUAAUAGAGGCUGAUAAACAGGUGAUGUAAACGUAAUACGUUAAAUGAAAUGAUGGUGAGCUUUUAAGAAAAUAAAAUUUUGAUAAAUUAUACGGAAAUUAUUUACGAAAAUUAUGGUUGUCAUUGCAGUGGCGAAGGUAUAUGGGAGGGAGGUCAACUGACCCCUAUGACUUUUUGGAAGACAAAAUAUUGCUUCAAUAUUUACAAAAAAAAAAAAAAAAGCUUAAGACUAGCUUAUUGACCUCUUUAAUAUUUGUAGAAAAUCAAUUUGAACCUAAGAUUUUAUUCUUUUUUAAUUUUUUAUUUGAAGUAAAACGAAAACAAUUCUCCUUCUAAUCUAAUAUUUCAAAUCAAUUUUUUUUUCAUUCUUCAAUUAUGUUUAUAAUCAUUUAAUAUUUUUAUACUUUAUUUUCUUUUAUUCGAUAGUCAAAUACUUUUAUUUCUGAUAAAUACUUUUAAAUAUAGUUUAUCUUUUUUACAUCAGCUUAUAAAUAUUUACCUAUAAUAACACACAUUUCUUGUGUAAUGACUAGAAUAACAUACAAAAACCAAGAAAGAAAGAAAACAUAAUAUAAAGUCCAAAAUACCCCAUCGAGGAAUUAAAUUUAAAUUAAAAAUACAUUAGGAAACAUAACUAUUAAAAAUAUUUUUACACAAAGAUGAAAAAAAAAUCCCCUUUUUGAAAGCUCUUUCCCCGACUCAUGAACUCUAAUCCCUCAAUUCCUCUAUUCUCGGAUCUCUUGCGUUUAGACUCAAUUUCGCCGAGAAUCGAUUUUUUUCUCACCCUUCUCGACCACCAAAAGCUUUGAUUGACAAAUGAAGAGAAUUUAAAUCCCAGAAAUCCGACGAAGCCUAAAUCCCCUUUCUGAAAUUAUGGGUUCCUUUGAAUCUGACAAAUUUUAUGGAGUGUGAUCAGCUGUUAAUGGAAAACUAAGUGUUGAAGAAGAGUGUCCUUCUUCCUCUGCCGUUAAUGGGGGUUUGAUGGCGGUGAGAAAGUGAAGCAGGGAGGUACGAAAAGGAGACGAUUGAGUAGAAGGGCAUCUGCUGACCUCAAGUGUAAAUUUGUUCACAAGCGGCAUUCAAACGAGACAGUAUAAGUGUCCAGAAGUAAUCUUUGACCUCAAGUGCUUUUUGAUCCUCACAGUGAAGGCAAUUAUGACAAAGAUGAGGUAAUGUGGUUUGGCUUCCUGAUUCUAUCAUUUAUGUAGCUAUAGCCUGUUGUUACUGGUGACAUUUAUGUCCAAAAUUUUGUUUGUAUCUAACAGGACAAUUUGGCUUUGAUGAUGGAGCUUCUUGGAAUGAUGCCACACAAGGUAAUAGAAUCAUUAGCAGGCUGCUGGUACAUGCUGGUGAACUACUUUACCAUUCUAGGCCUUCUAAUCUCCAACUCUUUCUCUGUUGGAUGUAUUGCAGAUAACUUUAGGAGGCCGCUACUCCAGGGAUUUAUUCAACAGGCAUGGUGAUAUUCGACACAUCAGAAAGAAGAAAGACCAAAAACCCGAAACGUAGCUCUAGAGAGAAAGAAGAGUGAGAACGAUGAGCAAGAAGCUGUGGUUGUUAAAAUGAGAAACCAGAAGGUCCUCUCUCCGGUUUGAUAUCUGAGUUCUGUUCCGUGAUUGAGCGACUGAAAAUAUGAUAUAGUCAGAGCUUUGAGCCAACAGAACCUCUCUUACGUCAAAUGUGCAGAGUGAUAUAUUGUUUGUGUACUUAUAAGAAACAUAAGCUGUUUAUUAUUACAUACCAAGAUUGAAAACAUUGACAGAACACAAAGAACAAAAACAAAGUUCAAGGCAUAUAGUUAUAAACAGCAGAACUUUUCUUCUUGUUUUGUUUGAUUACAGCUUCCCGUUGAACUCAGGAACCAUCAGGAACUUUUCAUGAAACUGAACCUUCUGACUUAACAUAUAAGCAAGUAGUUGUGGUCGGUUAUACAAUAAUAACAACAAUUUUUGUUUUUGAUAAGUAUGUGAACUUUAUUCUCAUGAAUGAAAAAUUCUUGAUGCUUGCACCGAAUGCAAUAAAAAAAUAUUUAAAUCUGUAACUAGACUCUACUACAUAGCGAGUGAAUGUCCCAAACUAAGGUAUUUGAAUAACCACUGGCCAAAAACAACUAUAACUUGCUCCAUCGGAUUUUUUUGGGAUUAACCUAAAAUAGCCAGUUGACAAAAAUAUAAAAUCGAGGUUUGGAGAAGAAGUUUCACGGCUAAACUAAGUUUUAGUAACUAGUUGUGGUUAUUGUUCAAAUUUUUGGUCCCUUUAGUAACCCGGGUUUUGUUAAUUCUAAUUAGUUAACCGAUUUUGUUGAAGCAAGCGCACGGCAGAAGAAUAAGACAGGGGAUAGCAGCCACCGACCAUUUGCUCCAAUCUUCAAAGGAGAAUGACGGAGAAAGAAAGACAACAGAGAGAGAAACUACAGAAAACGAAGAAGGCCACGUCAACAAGGAUUCAUUCAUUUUAAUCCUUAAUUAGGGACUGCUCCUUAGCUUAUUUAGGUUUUAUAUUAUUAUUGUAUUGGUAUUUGCUUAGGAUUAUGUGCUAAGGAUUCAUUUAAAUCCUCCAUUGCGGAUGGUCUAAGCAUCUAGGGGCUUCAGCUGAUGAUCCAGGCUGUUCACGGUAUAAAAAUACUUGGAUGGAGGACGUGCCAUGUAACAAAUUUUCUAUAUUAUAAUCUCCAUAAAGCUUUUCACGUUUUCAUUAGUAAUUACUUAUUCUUUGUAUUAGAAGCCCAUUAAGCCUUGAAAUGAUACACGAUAAGUUCCAUUACAAUCGGCCCAUUACAAAAUUGACUUAUUCGGCUUGUUAAGAGUAAAUAGGUCGGUAUAAUUUAAUUAAAAAUAAAAAAAUAUUAAUAAAAUAUAAAUUUACCAAUUUCUUCUGAUCACGCCUAGUUUCGUCGGUAUCUCUUCGCAUUAAAGCCCUAAAUCUCCCAAUUUCAAUUGCGAUAAUUUUGUUCAGAGGGAAAUCCACAUCUUACGUUCUUCAGAUUUGUACAAGGUAAGUUCUUAUGCAGUUUCUUCGGUCGAAUUUCUUAGUUGGUUUAUUGAUUUUACGUUUUUUCUUUUAAAUCUGGAAAUUGUAUUUCUGUGCUAUGUGGGAGAAAUUGAUGUUGCUGUCACUUUUAUUAUAUUGAAUAAAUCACUAAGUUUUUAAUUUUUUUUUUUUAUUAUUAUUUUUGUUUGCAGAAAACUAACAUGAGAUUCAGAAAAGGAACCAGAGUUGAGGUUUUAAGCCUCAAGGAGUCCCGUUAUGGCGCGUGGCGAACAGCCGAGAUUCUUUCAGGCAAUGGUCACACGUACAGCGUUCGAUACUACUCGUUCGGGUUUGCAAAAGAUGAGACAUUGGAGGAGAGAGUUGCGAGGAAGAUGAUCAGGCCGUGUCCUCCGCUAAUCGAUGUAUACAGGUGGGAAUCUGGCGAACUAGUUGAGGUUCUUGAUCACGUUUUCUGGAAACCCGCUACGGUCCUCAAGGAGUUGUCGGGACGAUGCUACGUGGUUCGGUUACUUGGCGCCGCCGCGGUGGAACUUACGGUUCAUAAAGUUAACCUCAGGGCUCGACAAUCUUGGCGAGAUGAAAGAUGGGUUAUGAUCGAAAAGGUAUCUUGUUCUGUGAAGUCCUCUACGUUGACUGGUUCUGAUGCAAACCAGAAUCGAAAGACACGUGAGACGAGUGUUGUUUCUAUAAGACUGUUGAAGAGACCUUCACCCUGUGAGUCUGCUGAAUCAUGCACGGGAACUCCUAAGAAGAUGAGAUUGACGGAGGAAGCUGCUGCUGUGAAGAAUGGUUUCCGUCAAAUGGUGAGGGUAAGAACAAAAAGGUUUAGUAGUGAUGAUACUAGUGAUGCAUGCUCGGUUGGUAGUUGUAGCCCUAUUAGAUAUGAUGAGUCAACUUCUUUUCUAGAUGGUUCUUCUUGCCAAGACGCAGACUCUUGUAGUAGUGAUGCAGAAUCUUCAAAAGGAUGCAGACAAGAAGUGAGGAGGUCAUGUAGGCCUGAACUGUCCACAUACCGGAGUACCCUGGGGAAGCUAUUUGCUCAAGGCCCACUAAACUGGGAUCAGGAAGCAUCACUCACGGAUCUCCGACUUUCACUUGAUAUAUCAAAUGAUGAACAUUUGAUGGAGAUAAGAAACCUAACGUCUUCUGCUGGUACAAGACAAUAGUAAAUUUUGUUAGUAAUCAAAUAUUCUUUUUGAUCAUUAACAAAUCUUAUCUUCAGGUACUUCCCUGCAAUGUGGAAUCAGCUGUUACAUAUUUUUCUUUUCCAAGAGGGUUCUUAUAGUGAUCUGUAUAGGCAACAUAAUGGAAGAAAGUAUAUAUGGAAACUGCAAUCCUUAUUGUGAUGUUGUUCUUCUUAUAGUCAGCUUAAUUUUGUUUUGUUAUACUUUUGGGAUAAUGAACUAUGAAAUGUUACAGUAUAUAUACUUUAACAUAAGUCAUGUUUUGAGGAUUGAGUUUUUUUUUUGUUGACUUUCAUUGAUUUAUGCUUUAGAUUCUGUUGGAUAAGCUAUUUGUAUUUUCCAUAUUAUUGGGUGGAUUAUGGAACUUCCCUACAUUUUUUCAGGAACAGUGUAGCAAUGCCGGGUGGCUGCAGAUCUUGCUUGAUUGCUUAUAGAGAUCUUACUCUGAUGCAUUGGGUUUACCUAUCCGUGCAGAACACGAGGCCCCUUCUUACUCAAAUACAUAAGUUAAAUUGUACUGUCUUUUUUCUUUUUGGUUAUUCCAAACUGAUCUGUUGCAGGUAUUGUUGGAUCAACUCUGUUCAGAGGCACUUGAUAUGUUCCUGUUCUAAGGAGGAAAUUCACGGUCUGGUUGGAUAAGUUCGGUGAUAACAAAGUGCAUACCUGAGAGACUAUUGAGUUGUGCCAAAUACUUACGACAAUAGUCUUUUUAAUCUUUCAGCAAGUGUGAUUUUCAUGAUAUCUCUUCUAAACACUCUGAAUCCGGAGCUGUCCAUUUUUGUUAGUUU
rnacentral:lncRNA from 1 species